UAGGAUGGGCGUGACCGCUGCCGUGACCAAAGACUCGUAACUUGUCUUCUCAACCUCGAGUCCGCUGCAGACCUUUCCUCUCUCCAUCGCCUCUGUCCACCUGGAGCUUCCCUCUGCACGCCUGGAGCCUCCACCACAGCCAGCAGCUGAACUAACGGGGACGUUGUCACAGAGAACAGGCCUGAUCACCCAUCUACUCCCAGCCACACGGCAGGAAACCGCCAGCUUAACCGCCUCACUCGCCGCCGCAUCAGCUGAUCACGACGCGAUCACCGCGACGCACACCUGGACCGAACCGCAACGGCGCAAGCAAGCACGCACGCAAUGCCAGAUUUUUCCACCAGGAUUGAGAACUGUAUGGUGGUGUACAUGAUGGCUGCCACAAACAACCAAUCUGCAACAGUUCUUCAUGCACUCCUUGGUGCCGUCCAGCAGUUUGGUUUGCCCCCAAGGGUGAGAUCGGAGGGAGAUGAAAACAUACAGUUGGCACACUUUAUGGUGCAAACCCAGGAAGAAAACCACAGUUUCCAUAUAGCUGGAAGAAGUGUGCACAACCAAAGUGAUUGCUGGUGUGUUGUUGGUCGUAAGCUUAUGGAAGCUAUGCCAAACAGAGGGAAUUUACAGAAGAGUUUUUUGAAGAAGUGGAGUUUUUGAUUUUUUGAUGUGUGUUUUGUUUAGCUCUUAGUCGUCCUAAGUGUCUGUCUUGUGUUUUAAAUUUAGAGUUCAUGUUGUCCGUUGUGUACGGAGCGUAUUAGUUAAAGUUAGAGUGUUUAUUUAUUUCUGCAUGAGCAGUGAUUUUCAAUUCUGACUUUUUAGUUUUAAUUUUAGUCCUGCCAAGCAGUAAAUUUAUGUUUAUUUUUUUUCCCACCUGUGUUUAUAUAUCCUGCAAGUGCAGUGUGUUUAAGUUUGUGUAACAUUUAAUAUAUCAUUAAUUGUUAAUUUCAGUUCUGUGCUGGGUCAUUGCAUUUGGGUUCUUCCCCUUCCCGUUUUCCUGUGCCCUGGGCUGCAGAUGCGGCCAGAGAAACAUUAAGGUUUAGAGUCAAGCCAUGCUGUCGCAACAGAGUCACAGCAGUGUGUUGUGUGCACUUGGGCCAUAGCAGCCUGUACCCCUACGCUCGGUUUGAAUUCCUUUUUUUCCGAGUUCAGUGAGAGAAGUAUUUCCCUGCUCGGUGUGAUUAUGGUAACAGUUCCUUAUCCACUGCAUCUCCUCAAGCCUCAAUGGUAGGUAACCGACGGGGGGAGUUUGUAACAGAUGUAAUCAACACUUUAUUGUUUGUCAUUUUUUACAAUGUUUAAAUUCAAGGUAUUUUAAAUACAGCAUGAUCACAGCUGUUCUGUGUUAUCUUAUUUAUGUUCUGACAGUAGAAUGGAACUGAAUAAAGGGAUCCAGACUGUAUUCUAGACUGUACUCUGACUUCAUGUUUAAACAGGAUGUUCGUUUUUCAUAAAUAGCAACAUUAAUAGCCUGACUUAUCACUUUCUUAAUAUGCUACUGCAAUGAUGCUGAGGAGCCCUCAGCACACACUGUCAGCAACCCCAUAUGCUUGCAAAACCACACACAUGUAACAGGGGGCAAUUAAAAAAAUAAUAAAGAAAAAAAUAAAAAGCCUAAAACGCAAAAAUAAUUUGACAUUUACUAACAGACAUACAUGUCAAAUCUUUCUUAAUUUGUUGUAAUUACAUGGGUUUAAGAGGUCAAAAUGUCCUCCAUUCCAAAGAGCAUAACUGUUAAUACUUAAUUUAGUUUGAUAUACAUUCACUUUGUAUUUGCAUAUUAGUUACACACUGCAUUUCUUUCUGCAACAAUGUUAAUGUUUAUUCCAUGCCAAAGCAUUAAUCUGAACCCUUCUCAGUUAGAAUUUAAGUUGAUGUUUUGUUCUGUGUUCAGCAUAUUCAGACGUGCCACUGGUCAUUGCGUUUAUUCCAAAGCCUAAGCUUCCUUCCGUCAGUCUAUCCCCUCAUUAACUGUGUUUACCUGUCAACCCAUUUCCUUACUGGUUGUGCUCUGUGUCCUUUUAGUAUAUUUCUAGUGAGUCAGUUUUUGUGUGUACCUCAAGUCAGUUUGUUCUCCUGUUUAUUUGUUUAUUUCCACCUCUCAGGUCAUCAUAUUCUCUGAAAUUC